CUCUGCCAGCCUGGGAGAAAUCAGGUCAGUUUAAUCACUGCUGAUGUCAUAAAACCAGCUUACUUAAUGGAAGCCUUAAUAGAGGGUGGGGUAGGGAAGGGAGCUGAGAUCACCCUGGAGGAGAACUCCAAGGGUGGGCGGCUAAUGAGGGUUGGAGAAAGGUGGACCCAUGGGCGGUGGCUGCCCACGGCCUUUGAAGUUUCAUUUGCAGUGUUUUAUGAGCCCAUGCUGGAGUAAAUUGUACCUGCAGGCUGCUGCACUUUGCCCUCCCCAGCAAAAGGAGGUGGAAUUCACACUAGUAAUGUCUGGCUGGAGAACACCCUAGAUGAUGAAUCCAGUGAGGGUCAACAGCAGAGAGGAGCUGCCCAGCAGAGAGGAGCUGCCCACCACACCCUCCACCCCAUCUUCCUGAGCCUUCUGUGGAAGCACUGGUUUGCUAGCCUCUGAAGGGCCAUGGGCCCAGCACCAGGUGCCCUCAGCUCUGAGGCCAGGCCGUUACCUGCAUUCAAGAUGGACACUGGCUAGAGAAAGCAUGUCCACAGGGCUGGUCAGUAGGAAAGGGGUUGUGUUUCUGGAAGGGUGCAUCUAACCCAGGGGUUGGUGAGCAUUUUCCUAACCCAGGGCCAGGUAGUAAACAUUUUUGGCUUUGCCAGUCAUGCAGUCUCUGUCACAGCCACUGCACUCUACUACUUUAGCACAAAAGCAGCCAUAGGCAAUACAUUUAAAAAGACGAGCGUGACUGCGUUCCAAUAAAAUUUUAUUUAUAAAAAACAGACAGCAGGCUGGAUUUGACCUGUGUGUUGUAGUUUGCUAACCUUGCUGAGUAACAUCCCCUGACCCUCACUGGUGGGGCCUGUGUUUUUGCUUUCACAUUUAUUUCACUUGGCAUUCAGGGUAGCCACCAUACACCCCAUGCAAAUGACAAUCCAUAUUGGUCCAGACUUAGUUCCAGAUGAAACUCAUUACCAGAUAGUUCCCAGGCUCAGGGAUAUCAAAUGGGAUCCAGCAGACAGCCACUUCCCACUGAUAAGCAAGGAUUCCAGGUCUGAAGGGCAAAUGACGAAAGGGAACCUUCAGUCUGCAGAGAAAAGUCAGAAUCCUUGGCUCCCAAUCAGCAGGUCUUGCAGCAUCUCAGCCCUCACACAAAUCCCUGGGUCUCCAUGAUUGGGUGAGUCACUAAUGGGUUAACAGCUGAGCUCCAUCCUGAAGUUUGGCUCCAGUGCACCUUUAGAAUAACAACCUGGGUCUGGAUUAACAUUCAAGAAAACAACCCCUCAGGAAAGUGUUCUGUAAUAAAAGGAUCCUAUUUCCUCUCUGCCAGCUCCCACCUUUUUCUUUCAAGUCAAGUCUGAAGCAAGCUCAGAAACCUGUCAAGCUAUGAAUGAUGAGUCAGACAUUUAACCAAACAAAUUUGCUCUCCUGGUGCCACUUGACACCUGCAUGAGCCUGCAGUGGUGAAGGUGGGGUUUGUGAAGAGGCAGCAGCCUCCAUGGAUGAGGUCUUGCACAAACGCUCAUCUACAUUAAGGAAGUAGCGUGGCCAGCCACAGCUUCAGCCCAGGUCUGCGCACCGUGUUCUUUAAAUCUUUGACCUGAACUAUGUCAUUGCUGAAAUUCCUUAAAGCAACUACUUACAUCUAUAAAAUGUUCAUUGCCACCAGCCAGAUGCUUAGACAAAGGGAAGCCCUGGUCCUUGUGUCUUGAGAGGUCUGAGACACUUGAGGCCUAACGGAAGAUUUACUCUACUUCUCCCACGCCUCUUGCCAGCUAGGAGUUGUCCUCAAAUAUUAAAGCUGGGAGUAAAGGGAAGGGGUUCUUUUACUGUAUUAUAUUACACCAUAUUACAUCAAAUCCUCAUCUCGACUCCAUGAGGUAGGGAUUAUUCUUUCAAUUUUACAGAUGAGGAAACUGAGGCUCAGAAAGAUGACGAUUCUCUAAUGACACAAAGCUAGUCUAUCAAUCUGUUCUCACACUGUUAUAAAGAUAUACCUGAGACUGAGUAAUUUAUGGAGAAAAGAGAUUUAGUUGACUCACAGUUCUGCGGGCUAGACAGGAGGCAUGGCUGGGGAGACCUCAGGAAACUUACAAUCAUGGUGGAAGGCAAAGGGGAAGUAGGUACAAUCUUCACACAGUAAGGAAGGAGAGAGAGAGAGAGAGAGACAGCAAAGCAGGGAAGUGCUACACACUUUCAAACAACCAGAUCUCAUGAGAACUCUGUCACAAGAACAGCAAGGAGAAUGUUCACCCCCAUGAUUCAAUCACCUUCCACCAGGUCCUUCUCUCAACAUUGGGGAUUACAAUUCAACGUGAGAUUUAGGUGGGGACACAGAGCCAAA
rnacentral:lncRNA from 1 species